rnacentral:rRNA from 1 species
UUCCGCUGUAUUGGCGCAGCCUGUCAGCAAUGCCGCGUGCAGGACGAAGGCCUUCGGGUUGUAAACUGCUUUUGUACGGAACGAAACGGCCUUUUCUAAUACAAGAGGCUAAUGAGGGGACCGUAAGAAUAAGCACCGGCUAACUACGUGCCAGCAGCCGAAGUAAUACGUAGGGUGCGAGCGUUAAUCGGAAUUACUGGGCGUAAAGCGUGCGCAGGCGGUUAUAUAAGACAGUUGUGAAAUCCCCGGGCUUAACCUGGGAACUGCAUCUGUGACUGUAUAGCUAGAGUACGGGGGGAGGGGGAUGGAAUUCCGCGUGUAGCAUUAAAAUGCGUAAAUAUGCGGGGGAAACACCGAUGGCGAAGGCAAUCCCCCCGGGCCUGUACUGACGCUCAUGCCCGAAA